rnacentral:rRNA from 1 species
AGAGUUUGAUCCUGGCUCAGAUUGAACGCUGGCGGCAUGCCUUACACAUGCAAGUCGAACGGUAACGCGGGGCAACCUGGCGACGAGUGGCGAACGGGUGAGUAAUACAUCGGAACGUGCCCAGUAGUGGGGGAUAGCCCGGCGAAAGCCGGAUUAAUACCGCAUACGACCUACGGGUGAAAGCAGGGGAUCGCAAGACCUUGCGCUAUUGGAGCGGCCGAUGUCAGAUUAGGUAGUUGGUGGGGUAAAAGCCUACCAAGCCAACGAUCUGUAGCUGGUCUGAGAGGACGACCAGCCACACUGGGACUGAGACACGGCCCAGACUCCUACGGGAGGCAGCAGUGGGGAAUUUUGGACAAUGGGCGCAAGCCUGAUCCAGCCAUGCCGCGUGCGGGAAGAAGGCCUUCGGGUUGUAAACCGCUUUUGUCAGGGAAGAAACGCUCUGGGUUAAUACCCUGGGGUAAUGACGGUACCUGAAGAAUAAGCACCGGCUAACUACGUGCCAGCAGCCGCGGUAAUACUUAGGGUGCAAGCGUUAAUCGGAAUUACUGGGCGUAAAGCGUGCGCAGGCGGUCUUGCAAGACAGAUGUGAAAUCCCCGGGCUUAACCUGGGAACUGCAUUUGUGACUGCAAGGCUGGAGUACGGUAGAGGGGGAUGGAAUUCCGCGUGUAGCAGUGAAAUGCGUAGAUAUGCGGAGGAACACCGAUGGCGAAGGCAAUCCCCUGGACCUGUACUGACGCUCAUGCACGAAAGCGUGGGGAGCAAACAGGAUUAGAUACCCUGGUAGUCCACGCCCUAAACGAUGUCAACUGGUUGUUGGGAAGGUUCCUUCUCAGUAACGUAGCUAACGCGUGAAGUUGACCGCCUGGGGAGUACGGCCGCAAGGUUGAAACUCAAAGGAGUUGACGGGGACCCGCACAAGCGGUGGAUGAUGUGGUUUAAUUCGACGCAACGCGAAAAACCUUACCUACCCUUGACAUGUCUGGAAUUCCACAGAGAUGAGGAAGUGCUCGAAAGAGAGCCAGAACACAGGUGCUGCAUGGCCGUCGUCAGCUCGUGUCGUGAGAUGUUGGGUUAAGUCCCGCAACGAGCGCAACCCUUGUCAUUAGUUGCUACGAAAGGGCACUCUAAUGAGACUGCCGGUGACAAACCGGAGGAAGGUGGGGAUGACGUCAGGUCAUCAUGGCCCUUAUGGGUAGGGCUACACACGUCAUACAAUGGCCGGUACAGAGGGUUGCCAACCCGCGAGGGGGAGCCAAUCCCAGAAAACCGGUCGUAGUCCGGAUCGCAGUCUGCAACUCGACUGCGUUAAGUCGGAAUCGCUAGUAAUCGCGGAUCAGCUUGCCGCGGUGAAUACGUUCCCGGGUCUUGUACACACCGCCCGUCACACCAUGGAGCGGGUUCUGCCAGAAGUAGUUAGCCUAACCGCAAGGAGGGCGAUUACCACGGCAGGGUUCGUGACUGGGGUGAAGUCGGAACAAGGUA